rnacentral:rRNA from 1 species
UACGUAGGUGGCAAGCGUUGUCCGGAUUUACUGGGCGUAAAGAGCGCGCAGGCGGCCGAGUAAGUCGAAUGUGAAAGCCCCCGGCUCAACUGGGGAAGGUCAUUCGAUACUGUUCGGCUUGAAGAUAGGAGAGGGAAGCGGAAUUUCAGGUGUAGUGGUGAAAUGCGUAGAUAUCAAGAGGAACACCUGAGGUGAAGACGGGUUGCUGGGCUGACACUGACGCUGAGGCGCGAAAGCUAGGGUAGCAAACGGG